GCUGGGUGUGGUGGCUCACGCCUGUAAUCCCAGUACUUUGGGAGGCUGAGGCGGGUGGAUCACCUGAGGUCAGGAGUUCGAGACCAGCUUGACCAAGAUGGUGAAACCCCGUCUCUA
rfam:Homo sapiens chromosome 22, GRCh38 reference primary assembly.